rnacentral:snoRNA from 13 species
AAUUGUGGUGGUUUUCUUUCUGGCACAUUUGUUAAGUUUUCAAGUGUACCUAACUCUGCCACAUAUAUUAUAUCGGAGCUGGCAAAGGCUUGAUGACAAAGAGAUCUUCUGCCUUUCCUCCAUCAGAGAUGGCUCCCACAUGC